rnacentral:rRNA from 1 species
GAGUUUGAUCCUGGCUCAGGCCGAACGCUGGCGGCGUGCCUAAUACAUGCAAGUGGAACGCAUGAUUGAUACCGGAGCUUGCUCCACCAUUAAUCAUGAGUCGCGAACGGGUGAGUAACGCGUAGGUAACCUACCUCAUAGCGGGGGAUAACUAUUGGAAACGAUAGCUAAUACCGCAUAACAGUCUUUGACACAUGUUAGAGACUUAAAAGGAGCAAUUGCUUCACUAUGAGAUGGACCUGCGUUGUAUUAGCUAGUUGGUGAGGUAAAGGCUCACCAAGGCGACGAUACAUAGCCGACCUGAGAGGGUGAUCGGCCACACUGGGACUGAGACACGGCCCAGACUCCUACGGGAGGCAGCAGUAGGGAAUCUUCGGCAAUGGGGGGAACCCUGACCGAGCAACGCCGCGUGAGUGAAGAAGGUUUUCGGAUCGUAAAGCUCUGUUGUUAGAGAAGAACGUGUGUGAGAGUGGAAAGUUCACACAGUGACGGUAACUAACCAGAAAGGGACGGCUAACUACGUGCCAGCAGCCGCGGUAAUACGUAGGUCCCGAGCGUUGUCCGGAUUUAUUGGGCGUAAAGCGAGCGCAGGCGGUUCUGUAAGUCUGAAGUUAAAGGCAGUGGCUUAACCAUUGUACGCUUUGGAAACUGCAGGACUUGAGUGCAGAAGGGGAGAGUGGAAUUCCUAGUGUAGCGGUGAAAUGCGUAGA